rnacentral:rRNA from 1 species
AGGAUAAACGCUGGCGGCGUGCCUAACACAUGCAAGUCGAACGUCCUACGCAAGUAGGGAGUGGCGGACGGGUGAGUAACACGUGGGCAAUCUACCUUUCGGUGAGGAAUACCGGCGAGAAAUCGCCGACAAUACCGCAUACGCUUCGCAAGAAGCAAAGUCGCAAGACGCCGGAGGAGGAGCCUGCGCCCGAUUAGCUGGUUGGUGGAGUAAUGGUCUACCAAGGCGACGAUCGGUAGCUGGUCUGAGAGGAUGAUCAGCCACACUGGGAUUGAGAACGGCCCAGACUCCUACGGGGGGCAGCAGUGAGGAAUUUUCGUCAAUGGGGGAAACCCUGAACGAGCAACGCCGCGUGCAGGAAGACACUUUUCGGAGCGGUAAACUGCUUUUCUCGGGGACGAGUAAGGACGGUACCCGAGGAAUCACGCCCCGGCUAACUACGUGCCAGCAGCCGC